rnacentral:rRNA from 1 species
UACGUAGGGUGCGAGCGUUGUCCGGAAUUAUUGGGCGUAAAGAGCUUGUAGGCGGUUGUCGCGUCUGCCGUGAAAUUUCGGGCUCAACCCCGAACUUGCGGUGGGUACGGGCAGACUAGAGUGUGGUAGGGGAGACUGGAAUUCCUGGUGUAGCGGUGAAAUGCGCAGAUAUCAGGAGGAACACCGAUGGCGAAGGCAGGUCUCUGGGCCACUACUGACGCUGAGAAGCGAAAGCAUGGGGAGCGAACAGG